rnacentral:rRNA from 1 species
GAGAAUGUUAUCACGGGAGACACACGGCGGGUGCUAACGUCCGUCGUGAAGAGGGAAACAACCCAGACCGCCAGCUAAGGUCCCAAAGUCAUGGUUAAGUGGGAAACGAUGUGGGAAGGCCCAGACAGCCAGGAUGUUGGCUUAGAAGCAGCCAUCAUUUAAAGAAAGCGUAAUAGCUCACUGGUCGAGUCGGCCUGCGCGGAAGAUGUAACGGGGCUAAACCAUGCACCGAAGCUGCGGCAGCGAUGCUUAUGCGUUGUUGGGUAGGGGAGCGUUCUGUAAGCCUGCGAAGGUGUGCUGUGAGGCAUGCUGGAGGUAUCAGAAGUGCGAAUGCUGACAUAAGUAACGAUAAAGCGGGUGAAAAGCCCGCUCGCCGGAAGACCAAGGGUUCCUGUCCAACGUUAAUCGGGGCAGGGUGAGUCGACCCCUAAGGCGAGGCCGAAAGGCGUAGUCGAUGGGAAACAGGUUAAUAUUCCUGUACUUGGUGUUACUGCGAAGGGGGGACGGAGAAGGCUAUGUUGGCCGGGCGACGGUUGUCCCGGUUUAAGCGUGUAGGCUGGUUUUCCAGGCAAAUCCGGAAAAUCAAGGCUGAGGCGUGAUGACGAGGCACUACGGUGCUGAAGCAACAAAUGCCCUGCUUCCAGGAAAAGCCUCUAAGCAUCAGGUAACAUCAAAUCGUACCCCAAACCGACACAGGUGGUCAGGUAGAGAAUACCAAGGCGCUUGAGAGAACUCGGGUGAAGGAACUAGGCAAAAUGGUGCCGUAACUUCGGGAGAAGGCACGCUGAUAUGUAGGUGAAGUCCCUUGCGGAUGGAGCUGAAAUCAGUCGAAGAUACCAGCUGGCUGCAACUGUUUAUUAAAAACACAGCACUGUGCAAACACGAAAGUGGACGUAUACGGUGUGACGCCUGCCCGGUGCCGGAAGGUUAAUUGAUGGGGUCAGCGCAAGCGAAGCUCUUGAUCGAAGCCCCGGUAAACGGCGGCCGUAACUAUAACGGUCCUAAGGUAGCGAAAUUCCUUGUCGGGUAAGUUCCGACCUGCACGAAUGGCGUAAUGAUGGCCAGGCUGUCUCCACCCGAGACUCAGUGAAAUUGAACUCGCUGUGAAGAUGCAGUGUACCCGCGGCAAGACGGAAAGACCCCGUGAACCUUUACUAUAGCUUGACACUGAACAUUGAGCCUUGAUGUGUAGGAUAGGUGGGAGGCUUUGAAGUGUGGACGCCAGUCUGCAUGGAGCCGGCCUUGAAAUACCACCCUUUAAUGUUUGAUGUUCUAACGUGGACCCGUGAUCCGGGUUGCGGACAGUGUCUGGUGGGUAGUUUGACUGGGGCGGUCUCCUCCUAAAGAGUAACGGAGGAGCACGAAGGUUGGCUAAUCCUGGUCGGACAUCAGGAGGUUAGUGCAAUGGCAUAAGCCAGCUUGACUGCGAGCGUGACGGCGCGAGCAGGUGCGAAAGCAGGUCAUAGUGAUCCGGUGGUUCUGAAUGGAAGGGCCAUCGCUCAACGGAUAAAAGGUACUCCGGGGAUAACAGGCUGAUACCGCCCAAGAGUUCAUAUCGACGGCGGUGUUUGGCACCUCGAUGUCGGCUCAUCACAUCCUGGGGCUGAAGUAGGUCCCAAGGGUAUGGCUGUUCGCCAUUUAAAGUGGUACGCGAGCUGGGUUUAGAACGUCGUGAGACAGUUCGGUCCCUAUCUGCCGUGGGCGCUGGAGAACUGAGGGGGGCUGCUCCUAGUACGAGAGGACCGG